UAACAAUAAUAAUAAAGGAAAAGCCUAAUUUUUCAGACACCUUCUGAACUGAAUCUUGAUUUUAGCACGCAUAAACCUAGCUGAGGUGCGUGUGAGGAAAUUGCCUAAGCUUGUUAGGGCUUCAUUGCCUUGCCUUUAUGCUACCAAUUUCCACGCACUAUGAAAAAAGGGGUGGCCAGCAGCAGCCCUCGAGCAAGACGACAACAGGCCCGCCAGGUCCCGCCCAAGUGGUGCGUUGCUCACGCAGCUAUCAUCAACAAUAAUAACGAGAGUACAAGGCACAAAGGAACAGCCUCUGCCUAGCUGCGCCGCCUCUCCUCGUGCUGUUGCUGCCUUCUAAGUUAAGCGUCAAAAGUUUUGAUAGCUUAUGAGAUGCCUACUGGAGCGAGUGCUUCGACUCCGGCGAAUCCUUGCUAGAGCCCAUUGAGUAGAAGCGGGCAACAUUUUUCAUUUUUAGUUGAGCAAAAUUUUUAACACAAAACUUUUAUGUAAAAUGUCUUGCGAGAUAAAAGUUUAAAUUGUCAAUUGAAAAUGUUGUUGGUAAAAGUUUUUUUGAUUAAUUUUCACUGCGCUGUGCCGUUGACAAUAAACCCGAUGAGCUGAUGCGGAUGCGGGCGCGGAAUGCGGGGCGAAGGGCAAGAAAGUGUGUUGAAGUCCCAAACAUUUACAUGUUCAGUUCGGCACGAGGCAGACAAACAAUUGAGCACAUUAACGCGCUCAGAUAUGAAGCAGGAAAGAGACAGAGCCAACGAUUCUCAUAUAGCUGCGAGGGAUUUAGCCUAGACACAGGCACAGGCAGUGCCAACAUUUUUGGCUACCAUAUAUCGUUUUAACAUAAUUUCUGUGGCAAAAUUAACUUUAUGAACUGUUGAGCAAAACGAGGGAAGCAACCUGCAAUCGGCAACUAAAGAUAGAAGACAGUCCUUGGAGCGUGCGCCGCACAACCUGCCACUUAAAACAAAUAACAAAGUUUUGCUUAACUUUGCGGCAAGUCGCUCGAUGGGCUCGCCCCGAAUCGGUUGCCCUGCCAGCCCUGAGCCUGCGUUAGAUUCCUUCUCCUGCACCCAAGGAGCUGCCCCAGUCAUGCCUUGUCAAAAUUAUGGCCAGACACAAAGCAAUGUCGUCGUCAACGACGUGGUGCGGCUUUGUCUUGGGCGUUGCAGGAAAUCAUUCGCAGUGUGCGACUCGGAGUCGACCGCCCGACAAAGUCGACCCCCUUAGGCUAAAUUACGUAUGAAAAUGGAUUUUAUUAAAAAGAAGUUGGCGACGGCAAGACAUUUACGAAAGCAGCAAGGCAAACGACAGCAACUCUGUUUACGUUUGCCCAUCAACAAUAAAUUGAGAGCUGUUCAAAAAAAAUAAAAACAUUCAGAAGCAAUCAAAAAAAGCUGUACACAAAUAAAAUACCUUUAAAAGGUUCAUAUAAGUUUAUGUACAAGUAUAACAAGCAGGUUGUGGAUUGAAUUUGAAUAUGAUAUGCAUUUAAACUAACUUUUUAAACCUACACACAUGGAGUACAUUUUUUCCGGAGAAUAAUGGCUUUUGUCAAAAUGUAUGCAAAUCAUGGCUUUGCUUUGCCGAGUUUUGUGUGAUAAACGGCUGCAUUUAGCUAUUAGCCAGACACGCUAAUUGGAAUUGAUGGAGAGCGAAAAGAAGGAAACGCUUGAAUAGCUGCAAUCGGAGAAGUCUAGAGCUGCACAUCGCCCAUAUUACUAAACGCCACUCAAGAGCCAAUAAAUGAAGGCAGCUUGGAGUUGGGAGGGGGGCAUUUUUGGGCAAUUGUCUGCAUUGAAGCUUGAGGUAAUUGCACUGCUUUCAACGCCCCAACAAAACAAUAAGCCUUAACUGAGAAGCACAACACCUAACCGGCAAAUACACCCACACACACGCACACACUGCCAUCGAUACGGCGCCAACUUUGGGCCAACUUCAUGAAUUUUGAAUGAAACUAAGGCUAAGUCACAGCCAGAACCCUGCCAGAAGACGUGAGGCAGUCGCAGUUGAAGCCGGGCGUCGUCCUACUCGGUUCGCUUGCGCUGUCGUUUGUGUCGUUUGUGUCGUUCCUGACUACCGACGACUACUUAGAGACGCCUAAACAGCUUCAUUACUUUUAUGG